CCGUACUCACUGCACAGUGUUUACGAAAUAAAAAUAAAAAUCUUUGAUGCGAGACGGGCCGCUUGAGGCGGCGGGUCGGGCCUUGUGGGCCGCCGCCGCCGAUGGCCGCACUCGCAAAUUGCAAUGCGUCCCUACCGUCUUCUGCUUGGCCUUGCCCGAGCAGUUGAGCGCAAAUAAUUGAGGCCGCAGCUUCAGCCACUGCCGUACUACUGUGCACCAUGAGCGGCGCUGCUGUGACGACUGACCAAGUCGGGAAACAUAGUGAGAAAUAUUUUCCCCGAGUCAGCCGCACGCAGCGUCUCGUGCAGUAGCGGCGGUGGGGCUGCCCGCUCUCCGCGCAAAAACACUGUCUCGGUCAAGAAUAAAGCUGCAGGGAUAUUGGGACGGCGACCGUGUAGAGGACCCUCUAUGAGAGUAUGGGUCUGACGAAGCUUCGGUAUCGGACGCAAACACCCGCGGCCCGACUGUGCGUGUUGGCGCCGGCUUGCUCGGUAGUUUCAGUGAGUGCACACAGAGUUGGCUCUUUUACGGUUUGUCGUAGUCGAGUCUCGCACUUUGCUGACUAUCACCCAUGAGUUGCAGCCGGGGCGAGCCGUGCGGGGGCCGCAGUAGCGGUGAGUUGAUUUUAAAGCGAUGGGACUUGUCUCUCCCCGAGGCAAUCGUCCCGUUUCGCGCCGAAGUGAUUCCAGUUCGCCUAGUACCGUCUAAGUCCCACGCUGGACAUUCGGUUUGGAGAUGCUCUGACGAAAAGCUCACCAUGAGAUUUUUUCCGACCGAGAUACGCAAAGCUAAUGUACUGUAAAGUAAGCCAUAUGAGUCUUGGACUUCUGCGGAGAUGGAGUGCUAGCGCUCUGCCGCGCGCGGUGCAACUGACACACAGAGAGCUCUUUUUAUUUUUACCUUGCCCCGCACCAUGCGAAACCUGCGCGGAGCAAACAUGAGUGGGUAAAAAUAUAUAAUAAAGAGAUUUGUCAGUGACCGUGUGCGUGCAGAGCGCUCAUUUUUUUCCGCGAGAAUCCUAAGUAUGAGCGGCUCUUGGGCUUGCCGCAGCAUGGCAGCGCGUAACUCGUAUAUGUCGGAAGCGAGCUGAUUACUUGGUCCUCCUUUUACUCGUAAGUCCACCUUGAAUGAAUAUUGUCGCACUAGUAUCCGCGCCUCACGGCAAGGAAAACGUCGGCAAAAAUGUUUUAAAAAUAC
rnacentral:misc_RNA from 1 species